GACGAACGCUGGCGGCGUGCUUAACACAUGCAAGUCGAACGGGCCUGUCUUCUUUUUUGGGGGUGGGUUGAGUGGCGAACGGGUGAGUAUCACGUGAGUAACCUGCCCUUCGGUCCUGGAUAACCGCUUGAAAGGGCGGCUAAUACGGGGUGGUCCGGUUGGUCCGCAUGGGCUGGUCGGGAUAGAUUCACUGUUUUUGGUGUUUCGGCGGGGGAUGGGCUCGCGGCCUAUCAGCUUGUUGGUGGGGUGAUGGCCUACCAAGGCGGUGACGGGUAGCCGGCCUGAGAGGGUGGGCGGCCACACUGGGACUGAGAUACGGCCCAGACUCCUGCGGGAGGCAGCAGCGGGGGGUAUUGCACAAUGGGCGGAAGCCUGAUGCAGCGACGUCGCGUGAGGGAGGGAGGCCUUCGGGUUGUGAACCUCUGUUUCCGGUGGUGAAGGCCCUGUCCGUGUGGUGGGGUUGACGGUAGCCGGGGAUGAAGCGCCGGCUAACUACGUG
rnacentral:rRNA from 1 species